GGGCUGGCGGCUGCCUAGACAUGCAAGUCGAACGGAGUUUCACUCCUGCGGCGGACUUCGGUCCAAAGCUUUGUGAAACUUAGUGGCGAACGGGUGAGUAACAGGUAGACAACUUGCCUCAACGACUGGGAUAACACUGGGAAACUGGUGCUAAUACCGGAUAGGAUAUAGAUUCGCAUGAAUUUAUAUUUAAAGAUGGGUUAAACCAUCACGAUGAGAGAGGUCUGCUUCGUAUUAGCUAGUUGGUAGGGUAAUGGCCUACCAAGGCAAUGAUGCGUAGCCGAGCUGAGAGGCUGAUCGGCCACACUGGAACUGAGACACGGUCCAGACUCCUACGGGAGGCAGCAGUUAGGGAUAUUCGGCAAUGGACGAAAGUCUGACCGAGCAAUGCCGCGUGAAUGAAGAAGUAUUUCGAUAUGUAAAGUUCUGUUGUAAGGGAAGAAUGGUUGUGAUAGGAAAUGAUCACAAUUUGACGGUACCUUACCAGAAAGCCCCGGCUAACUACGUGCCAGCAGCCGCGGUAAUACGUAGGGGGCGAGCGUUAUCCGGAAUUAUUGGGCGUAAAGGGUGCGUAGGCGGCCUUAUAAGUCUGAGUUGAAAGCCCACGGCUUAACCGUGGAGGGUGCUCGGAAACUGUAAGGCUUGAAUCCAGAAGAGGCAAGUAGAAUUCUAUGUGGAGCGGUGGAAUGCGUAGAUAUAUGGAGGAAUACCAGUGGCGAAGGCGGCUUGCUGGUCUGGGAUUGACGCUGAGGCACGAAAGCGUGGGGAGCAAACAGGAUUAGAUACCCUGGUAGUCCACGCCGUAAACGAUGAGU
rnacentral:rRNA from 1 species